CCAAGAAACCGUGCCUACCCGGCCGGAUUCUCACACCAUUGUGUACCAAACUUUUGUUGCCUCGGCGGGUUGGGUUGCCGUGCUUCGGCAUGGCCAACCCCCCUUCGCGGGGAGCCGUCCGCCGCAGGAUUUUUCAAACCAGUUCGUCGAUGAACGUCUGAUUUUAUUUUUGCAAAUGCAAUAAAUA
rnacentral:misc_RNA from 1 species